CGUAGGGUGCGAGCGUUAAUCGGAAUUACUGGGCGUAAGGCGUGCGCAGGCGGUUUUGUAAGACAGGCGUGAAAUCCCCGGGCUCAACCUGGGAACUGCGCUUGUGACUGCAAGGCUAGAGUACGGCAGAGGGGGUGGAAUUCCACGUGUAGCAGUGAAAUGCGUAGAGAUGUGGAGGAACACCAAUGGCGAAGGCAGCCCCCUGGGUCGAUACUGACGCUCAUGCACGAAAGCGUGGGUAGCAAACAGGAUUAGAUACCCUGGUAGUCCACGCCCUAAACGAUGUCAACUAGGUGUUGGGUGGGUAAAACCAUUUAGUACCGGAGCUAACGCGUGAAGUUGACCGCCUGGGGAGUACGGCCGCAAGGUUA
rnacentral:rRNA from 1 species